rnacentral:rRNA from 1 species
CUUUGCCUACGGGACGCAGCAGUGGGGAAUAUUGGGCAAUGGGCGCAAGCCUGACCCAGCAAUGCCGCGUGAAGGAAGAAGGCCCUCGGGUUGUAAACUUCUUUUAUCAGGGACGAAGGAUGUGACGGUACCUGAUGAAUAAGCUCCGGCUAACUACGUGCCAGCAGCCGCGGUAAUACGUAGGGAGCAAGCGUUAUCCGGAUUUACUGGGUGUAAAGGACGCGUAGGCGGGAUGGCAAGUCAGAUGUGAAAUCCGGG